rnacentral:rRNA from 1 species
CUACGGGCCGCAGCAGUGGGGAAUAUUGGACAAUGGGGGAAACCCUGAUCCAGCAAUGCCGCGUGUGUGAAGAAGGCCUGCGGGUUGUAAAGCACUUUCGGUUGGGAGGACUGCUUCUAGCACUAAUAUUGUUGGAAGUUGACGUUACCUUCAGAAGAAGCACCGGCUAACUCCGUGCCAGCAGCCGCGGUAAUCGGAGGGUGCAAGCGUUAAUCGGAAUUACUGGGCGUAAAGGCAGCGUAGGCGGCUAGAUCAGUCGGGUGUGAAAGCCCCGGGCUUAACCUGGGAACUGCAUCCGAUACUGUCUAGCUUGAGUACAGGAGAGGAGAGUGGAAUUCCACAUGUAGCGGUGAAAUGCGUAGAUAUGUGGAGGAACACCAAUGGCGAAGGCAGCUCUCUGGCCUGAUACUGACGCUGAGGUGCGAAAGCGUGGGGAGCAAACAGGAUUAGAUACCCUUGUAGUC